rnacentral:rRNA from 1 species
GACGUAGGAUGCAAGCGUUGUCCGGAUUUAUUGGGCGUAAAGAGUUCGUAGGCGGUUCGUUAAGUCUGAUGUUAAAGAUCGGGGCUCAACCCCGGGAGUGCAUUGGAUACUGGCGAACUGGAGUGUGGUAGAGGCUAGUGGAAUUCCCAGUGUAGCGGUGAAAUGCGUAGAUAUUGGGAAGAACACCGGUGGCGUAGGCGACUAGCUGGGCCAUAACUGACGCUGAGGAACGAAAGCCAGGGGAGCGAAUGGG